UUAUCGUUCGUUGUUUUCGCGGGAAUCUCGUCGCACUUACGAACACGUGUCCCUCCUUUUCUGUCAUAGGGCCGACAGGAGUCCACGGUCGGCGCGAUCGAGACACGUAGCCUCCGUACAGCUUUGUCGGCACUCCAGUGUCACUGUCACAAAACGUUGUCACUCGGCCUGGCCGCGUUUUCUACUACGAAUUCACACCCCCCGCCACCGAUCGGGCUCCGUCGCGACCGCCGAAUUCGUAAACGCGCGCCCGUCACGAGCAUCCGGUUUACGCAAGAAGGCGUAGGCGACGUUAGAGGACGAGAGUGUUCCACGGUCCAGUGAGUGCAGCUGGAGAGCUUCGCGCGAGCCUCUGGGAACUUUACUGUCAAGCGUUUCGAAACGACGCCCUCCUCCUCCUCCUCCUCGUCGUCGUCCUCGUCGUCGUCGUCCUCGUCCUCGGACACCGGCGUACACGACCGCCACUUAGAGCAGUCUAAGUCCGUACUAAGCGAAAUGCGCUGCCACAUUUCUUUCGUGGCCUGCCUUCUGCGCCGGCCAUAGUUGACGGCCCCCCUCCAACGACGCCGCUCGCCGAGAUCCGAGCUGCACAAACAUUCAGGGCCGUAGACCGCCGAUCGUUCUCGAACCAAUACGAAUACACCGGACCUUCCACGAUUUCCCGCAGUUUUCCCCGUCGCAAGGUAAGGGACACUCCGCGAAAUAAAUACGACAGUAAUUCGCGCGUACACUGGCAGCCUGACAACCAACGUUUCAUAAAGAACGUCGAUUUUACGCGUUUGGAGCGCGUACCCGUGGUACAUACACGGACUUCGAGAUUUUCUGUGAGAAAUGUGACAACGUUCCAUACAUUCGUUAGAACAUCAAAACCGCGCAGACUGUUGUCCGAACGAACAUUGCCAACGAACGUGUCGAAACUGCUUAAACGCUCAAAUCUCGUUUACAGGAUUUUUAAAAACUAACCUAACAUCGUCGGUCAAGUUAUUGUUUACAAGUUUCAAGGCAAGUUUCCAUCUUGCAGCAAAAAUCGGCCUAAAUUGAAUCGUGUCGUUUUUAUAAGGCAACGUAAACUAACCACUUAUGGUGUUCGGGGUAGGUUCAGUGUUAAUUUCUAAAGUGAAGUGAAUCCGUCGGAUCGUCUUGUGAUGUUGGUCAAAUUUCGAAAACAUUGCUAUUUACACUGUGUGCAAGGUAGCGGCGCGUGAACAAUUGCUGGCAGUUCGAAAGAAUGAUCGCAAUUUCUUGCACGCGCGGGGCUGGACAGGGGGCAGGCCGCAGCUUUCGCGGGCGAGUGCUACGGUCCUGCGGGUACCGGUGACGUCGGGGCCGACAUGUGCCGAGUUUAUCCGAAGCGAUCGGGGCUCGGCCGUGAUUGGCCGAAUCAGCGUGGCGUUCUACGUUGCUAGGAUACGGCGGUGUGCCAUCACGGUGGGGGGACGGGGGGCACGACGCAAGACCACACACGCGGUACCAUUUCCCCUCGAGCAAAAACAUUACCCACACACGGCAGGGCCUACGUGACACGCACGAGGCACACAACGGCGUUUACAGAUCGCCGCAUCAUCUCUUUCUCUCUUUCACCCGUUCCGUCUCCCCGGUUCCUCCUGCUCGUCUUUCCUUCUCUUUCUCCUCGUCAUUGACUCCGAGCCGUCUCCAGAGAAGUUUUGUAUAUACGCUCCCUACGUUCUGUGCUAGUAGAAAAGGUCUGAACGAAGGUUGACGGGCGGAUGAAAACGAGCAGAAGACGGCCACCGACGUACCCGAACGUAAACACCGUUGUCCCGCGGCUCCCCCCGGCAUCGAAAUUGCUACCUAUCCAAUAAUAAUCGCGACCGGAAAUGCGAAAGUUUGAUGCGGCGGUCGCCAUCACCGUCACCGCGCGCCCCUGUAAAUCUGCAUAAUUGAUUAUACGUGUCUCUUCUGCCGUCUCUUAGAAUUUGAUUGGUAGUUGCAAAGAAGUUCUCAUGGGCUGACCGUAUUCACACAGUUGUAUGCGACAGCAAUCGUUCUUGCAGCCGGCAAUGACAGUCUGGAUUGAGAUCUUUAUUAGACACCUCGACUGUGUAAUCUGGAGCCGCAAUUUCGCUGAUUUUAUCGGUUUUUGGUAUAUUUGAUCCAUUUUCUCGAACCUAGAGAGCACAGUCUUUGGGGAAUACUGUCAAAAAAAUUGAUAAGAUAGACGAAAGAUUGCAAGCUUGAUUGGUAAUUGCUACCAAACGUUUGGAAGUCACAACCAAAAUUUGGUCCCCGAGCCUAAUGGGAUAAAAUUAAGAAGACCCUUCCUAGCCUUGAAAUGUUCUAGAUCAUUUCACACCAUUUAUAAUAGUUCAGAUAUUUUCCAUGUACGAUAGAAUAUCAGCUCCGCAAUGAUAAGACAAUUUAUGAUCCCAGCAAACUUGUUAGCGUAUUCCAACUUGCUAGAAAGAUCUAACGUGACAAUUUACAGACCGGGGGAACAAGGUUUUACCAUUUGGACAGAGAGAAAUGCCAGCCAACAACUCGCCUCCCCGCAGCACAAAGCAAUUAGGCAGCACGUUUUUCCAGACGGCUUGAUUGAAUCGUGCGUUUAAUCCUCUGCGGCUGCUGGUCACCGUGUCGCGUAACAUCUUGGAGUACCUACCUACCUGUGAUCCGCCGAAGAGAGAGGCACGACCGUUCUGAAUACGUUCAUUAAGCCGCGGAGAAGAGCGUUACACCAGACAAUUAACUUAUUAACCUGUCUUCAUAAUAUCUGCAUAACGAUGCGACUUCAUUAGGCGUCGUACACCACUUCCGUGCGGCGUCGUGCACGCGUAUACGCAUGCUGAUCGGCCCCGGCUCACACGCACCCGUUGCGCUCGUGCGCACGUGUACGACUUGCGGUGAGGAACAGCGCGAAAAGACCGGACAGAGGGUCGGAGAGAGGAGAAAGACAAAGAAAGGAGAUCUUAGGAGGGGGCCCGGAGAAAAUUAAAUAAGAGAGAGAGAGAGAGAGAGAAAAAGAGCGCGAGACAAACUGGCAGAUCGAAAGAGCCUUCAUUGAUCGACGCAUCAAUUACGUCUUCAUUACUAAACUGCGGAUUUUAUGCAUUUACAACUGAAGCGAGUGGGUGGAAUACAAAACAGUAAAUACAAGGGAAGAAUUUUGGGAUUGUGUCACGUUAUCCUCAAUUUAUUGAAACCGUUGAAAAUGAAAAUAAAUGUCGAUUUUACUCCUCUUUGCUGCAAUUUACCUGCAGUUUAUUCAUUAGAGGCAUUACGGUACAAUCAUCGGACUAUACAAUAUCAACGUUAAUAAGAUUUCUGAUAGGGACAACUUUUUUAUUGCAUCCACAUAUUGCCAAAUUCUGAAGAUCGGCGACCAUACCAUCGCAUAUCUACCGAAAUAGGCGAGUCUAUCGUCUUCACGAGAACGAGCAAGAAAGUUUCAUUUACCGCUUCGACCACUCGGAUCGUUUCCCUUUCGGAAAAGUGAGCAAAAAAAAGCUGGCCGAAGAUAGGAAUUGUCACAAUAAGACGUUCAAGUGCUCCGGGGACCGAAGCCGAUGGGAAAUGUCAUUGCACAUUGUGGUGGCAAGUUCGACGAAUGCACCCAACUGUAGUUGCCGAUCCGGCGAUAAGGCACAGCGUGCGGAGGGACCGUUAAUAAUUUUUACGACACUCUUAGCUCGCCACCCAGUAUUAAGCGGUCCUCCGUAGAAGACGGGCUUUGAUCUUCGCCGACGCUGCAUCGGCUUAAUGAGUGCGAGAGCGAGAUAGCCGAGGGAAGCCGAGGCUGAAACAGAGCGCAGAAGGAGCAACGGAGUCCCCUGUGGAUCUAUUUUCCACAAUAUGCACCUCUGUAGCUCGGGUUGCAUCGUACCAGGGCAUCGGUGCACCAUCGCUGCGGUAUCGCGGCCGCGGUGGAGCCACUCAAUGAAGUCGGAUCGCAAUUAAUUAACCGCUCCCCGGCACUCGUUUCGCUGUAAUUCUCAACGAAAUUUUAUCUUUAAUUCUUGCUCGAGCAGGCUCGCGAUAAAUUGCGAUCGAAGGGCUUGCAUUUCACGCGAUUUUUAAUCUGCGAACGGCGGAUUUUAUGCCCACGUUAGAGAUAGGAUUAAGCAUGUGCAUUAAAAGUAGAUACGGAUCUAGUUGGACAGUUUCGAAUGUCCCACGAGCACCGCGAACAAAAAAAUCAACACUUUCGAAUAGAUUCGACGUUCAGACGAGAUAGGCUCGAACUCUUUUGAAAAUAUUUUCGUAGAUUUCAACUUAUUUUAACAUGUGUAUGUCUCGUCACUACACGAAUAUUCUUUAAUAUUGGUUUUCGCUAUUACCGGAUAUUAAUAUACAAUAAUAUACAGUAAUACAGAAUACU